GGGGGCGUACCGGUUUCGACGAGGAUGAAGACGCUCGAAUUGCGCGUCGUGGCGCCCAAGGCCACGUAAAAAUGGGCAAACCAUGCAACUGCGAACGAUAACGCUGUUGCUCUC
rnacentral:tmRNA from 1 species